rnacentral:rRNA from 1 species
CCUACGGGUGGCAGCAGUGGGGAAUAUUGGACAAUGGGGGGAACCCUGAUCCAGCCAUGCCGCGUGUGUGAAGAAGGCCCUCGGGUUGUAAAGCACUUUCAGUGAGGAAGAACGCCUGGUGGUUAAUACCCAUCAGGAAAGACAUCACUCACAGAAGAAGCACCGGCUAACUCCGUGCCAGCAGCCGCGGUAAUACGGAGGGUGCGAGCGUUAAUCGGAAUUACUGGGCGUAAAGCGCGCGUAGGUGGCUUGAUAAGCCGGUUGUGAAAGCCCCGGGCUCAACCUGGGAACGGCAUCCGGAACUGUCAAGCUAGAGUGCAGGAGAGGAAGGUAGAAUCCCCGGUGUAGCGGUGAAAUGCGUAGAGAUCGGGAGGAAUACCAGUGGCGAAGGCGGCCUUCUGGACUGACACUGACACUGAGGUGCGAAAGCGUGGGUAGCAAACAGGAUUAGAUACCCCGGUAGUC